ACAUGUCAUCUCUGGUUGUUUUUGUUUGUUUGGGGUUUUGUUUUGGGGUUUUAGGUACUGGUUUCCACUUCCCUGAGUGCUUCCCCAACACUGGGCUUAACCUUACUUCUGUCUCUAGUCCUCUUUGAGCACCAGCUUGUGAUGACUCGGCUCUCCUGAGGCCUCUCCAGUGCUUUCAUCCCGGAAUCAUUCAACCUACCCCUUAAAUCCAUCAGAGAUUAUUUGGAUUCUGUGUGUGCUCCUUUCUCUUCCUUCAAGGCCACAUGACUUCCACUCUUUCCUUGCGUCUUCCAACUUCCCUGUUCCCAUGCUUGUUUCCUGUUCCUUUUGAGUCUCUGCCAGGAAGCGUUGCACAAAGUGAUACUUUGGGAUGUGCAGUGGAGGGGCCACAGGACAUUAACCCUGCUCUCAGAGGUCCCUUUAGAAAAAACAUCCUUUAAAUGCCAACAAAGAGGUUUUAAUUUUUAAGCUGAUGAACAAAUAAUUUGUCCAGAGUCAAAACAUUUGUGCUGAUAAUGGUGCUGUGCCCUGAGGGAACUAAUUUGCCUCUCUUACACUGCUUGACUUCCCUGCUCACAGAUAACUCAGCCCAGUGAUAUCCCAUGUUGUAACCCAGUUCAAGACUCAGCCCUCUUGCAAGAAGGACAUGCUGCAUCUUUGGAAGACCUGAGUGCAAUGUUAAGUGUCACAGCAGGAGUAGAACCCAGUACCUUGUGCUAACUCACUGCACCUCCUCUCCAUGCGAAAGCACGGGGUGCAGAACAGGAGAUACUUGUGUGCCCUGACAAGAACAGAAACACUGAAAACAUGAUGCCAACAGCAGGCAACAACCUGAAGGACUCUUGAAAUGUGCUGUGGGGGCCUUUGCCCCUCCACUGAGCACUGCAAACACACUUCCUCUUCUAGGAAAUUAAACUCUUAACAGACA